UUAGCAUCCCUGGGAGGUAGACACUUUACAGAUGAGAAAAUCCAAGAGAGGCUGAGAGCCUGCCAAAGUCAUAUGGUUCUUAGCUGCCAGGUCUGCUGAUUCAGCUUGGCCCCUCUGCUGAGGUCACAGCAACAUCUUACCAUGAAGUGCUCUUUGGAUGUUCUCCAAGGUUUUGGAGAAGCUGGCAGGGACGUUUUGGGUUACAGGAACUGAGCUAGUUUCUUUGGUCCUCUAUCUGGAGCUCUUAUAGAAUGUUCCAGAGUGGUUUUGUUCUGGGUAUGCCGUUUCCCCUCGGGACAGAUCUAUUGACUUAGCUCUCUGAAAAGCAGCUUUGUGCUUUCAGCAACUUCUGUGAUCAGAAAGGAUGACAAAAGGAAACUAUGCACUGUGGUUUCUCUGUCACUUUGACCCAGCUCACAGGCCAGAUGGGAGAGAAGUUUCUUGGUUGCGGGCCAGCAGAAAGAGUGUGACUGACAGCCAUCUUAAGAGUAGGAAGCCAGGCAGAGGAGGUCAGUUUCAAAAAAAAAGGACUUGAAGAAGCCAGGGACAAAACACAAUGUGGCUUUCCUCGCACAACUGGGUCCAGAGAUUGAACAAUGCGUGAGCUGUUUGGUUGGCAAGCGUGACUCCAGGUGACUACCUUCCUGGUUUAAUGAUUAAGGCAGUGGGAAGUGACUACACUGAACUGGUAGAGAGAACCGCCCUUCGUUUUUCUCCUAGUUUGGAGCUGGUGUUGUUUCUUAGUUUGGAGUUGUGGAACUUCAUCAUGGAUGACUCUGUUUAGGUUGUUAGUACAGAAGAUAAGCCCCAAACUGUAGACGCUUUCUGGCUUAUUUAGCUCAAGGUGCCACUUUCUUCCUUUUGUGUCCCUUCCUUUUGUCUUUCUGUUCUUCUUUCCUUCUCCUUUGACAGUGUCUCCUCUAGCUCCGGCUGGUCUUGAUUUAGAGCAGAGGAGGACCUUGAACUUUGAUCCUGGUGGCUCUACCUUCCAAGUGCUGCCAUUACAGACAUGUGAAGCCACACCUGGUUAUGCAGUGCAAGGGAUCGAAUCCAGGGUCUCAUGCAGACUAGCAACCAAACUCUGCUCCUUCCAAGUCAGCACCAAAGGAUCAGGUCACGUCCAGAUGGAUGACAAGGAUGGGAUUUAUAGCCGCAGAUGCGUUUGCAGAAGACACGCAGAGGGUGGAAAGAGGUACUGGCGUGAGUGAAGUUUCCUGCAGAGAUCCCAGCCGGACCCGCCGCAGCUGACAGCAAGCGCAGCGGCUCUUGUUUCAACUUUUGAGAAUUACCAAUUUAGAUCUCUACCUCAUUUUUUUUUUUGAAGAACAUGAUUUUAAUA